UACAGAGGGGGCAAGCGUUGUCCGGAAUUACUGGGCGUAAAGGGCGUGCAGGCGGUUUGUUAAGUGCAGGGUGAAAGCUCCCGGCUCAACUGGGAGAGGUCCUUGCAUACUGGCGAACUCGAGGGAGGCAGAGGAAAGUGGAAUUCCCGGUGUAGUGGUGAUAUGCGUAGAUAUCGGGAGGAACACCUGUGGCGAAGGCGGCUUUCUGGGCCUUACCUGACGCUGGGACGCGAAAGCGUGGGGAGCGAACCGG
rnacentral:rRNA from 1 species